rnacentral:lncRNA from 1 species
UGAAUGUCCGCUGCUGAGAACCACGACUGGGGAGAACUGCCAUUGCACUCGAGUCCCGUUUGCUGGCUCCCCAUAGGGGCAUUGGAUUGGCCACUGUGAGAACAGGAUGCUAGACUAGAUCGGCCUUUGGCUUGAUCCACUUGCAGGGCUCUACUUACGUUUAUAUGGAUUUGGAGAGGACUAAGAUCACAUACAAGGGACGCAGGUGGUGCUUUGGGCUAAACCGCAGAGCCUAGGACUUGCCGACCAGAAGGUCAGUGGUUCGAAUCCCCGCGACGGGGUGAGGUCCCGUUGCUCGGUCCCUGCUCCUGCCAACCCAGCAGUUCGAAAGUGCGUCAAAGUGCAAGUAGAUAAAUAGGUACCGCUCCAGUGGGAUGGUAAACGGUGUUUCUCUGCGCAGCUCUGGUUCGCCAGAAGCGGCUUAGUCAUGCUGGCCACAUGACCCGGAAGCUGUACGCCGGCUCCUUCCGCCAGUAAAGCAAGAUGAGCGCCGCAACCCCAGAGUCAGUCACUACUGGACCUAAUGGUCAGGGGUCCUUUUACCUUUACCUAAGAUCACAUACAGGUAAAUUCAUCAGACUAGGCCUCAGCCACAGGUUGCAGGUUUCCCCAAAGUCCCACUUUCACAAAUUCCACUUUUACUUAUGCCCCUGGAAACAGCUACGUGACUACUACUAUCUAGCUUGUUUGGGAUUGCAAGGGCAGUGGCCAGCGACACAUUGCCAAAGAUUUAUUUCGGUAGAAAGGAGUUCAGGGUAUUUAUUAUAUAUCUAUCUAUCAUCUACCUAGAUUUAUAUAAAGUGGAACCUCGGGUUAAGUACUUAAUUCGUUCCGGAGGUCUGUUCUUAACCUGAAACUGUUCUUAACCUGAAGCACCACUUUAGCUAAUGGGGCCUCCUGCUGCUGCCACGCUGCCGGAGCACGAUUUCUGUUCUCAUCCUGAAGCAAAGUUCUUAACCUGAAGCACUAUUUCUGGGUUAGCGGAGUCUGUAACCUGGAGCGUAUGUAACCUGAAGCGUAUGUAACCCGAGGUACCACUGUACUGCUUAAUAAAAGAAACCCAUCUAAGUGGUUUACAUUAAGCAAUAUAAAAUAUUAACAAGAAAAUACUGAUAGCAUUAAAUACAAGUAAGACAUAAUACAGGUAUGAAGACAAGUGGAUAGCUCAGUUGAUUAGGGCGUGGUGCUGAUAAUGCCAAGAUUGCAGGUUCAAUCCUCGGAUGGGACAGCUGCAUAUUCCUGCAUUGCAGAAGGUUGGACUAGAUGACCCAAUGAAGGAGAAAGAGGCCCUGUUCUUAUCUUAUCACAACAGCCCUGAUGAGACAGGUCCAAGUAAGCACAGGCGGUGAUCACGCUCCGCACAUACACAGUACUAACCGCAGUCACGAGCUUCCCUGCUGAUUAGCACGUCCUGAGCAUGCGGUGUACAUGACUUGGGCACGAGCACAGUCAGUACAUGGGGGGCUGGACACAUGAAUGGGAUAGGCUCAGGAGGCUGAACAGGGCAGGGAAACCAAUGUAUAAAAGGCUUUGCAUGACCUGUAUGUGUGUGCCAGACUUUGGAAGCGAUUCCACUGGUACCUGCUGCGCAGUAACCGAAUAAACUUUUUCUCUGUGGAAUCACACCCUGGCGUUGCUUGACUCCUUCAUGCUCCUGGCGAGGGUACGAGGUGACUGGACCCAGACCCAAACUUAAAGAAGGCUACACCUCAACUCUACAAUUCUGUGAUCUGAGUCAGGCAUAAUCCAAUUUAUCAAAAUAUAGAUAAAAUCAAUGGUUUUAUAAAACAAAUAUGCCUGAAACAGUUGCGUGCCUGGUGUAGGCUUGUCUAAAGACCAAGCUUCUUAGCAUGGGUUGAAAUGGGUUUACCAGCUGAUCGGCAAAUAGGCUGCCCCUGUGCCUUUUACGGCAGCUUGGCCCCAAAAACUUUUCAUGGCGUAGAGAUGAGCUUGGUAGCAUACUAACAUCUGCAGGUCAAAGUGCCAUGUGGGGCAUAGGAUCAGGGGCCCGUCAAAAAGCUGGCAACCCCACGCCCAAGUAAGUGCUCUUGAAACAUCUAUGUAAAUUCAGUUGCUAAUUCCCUCCCCACGAAAAAAAAAAUCAUCUCCUCCCACCCCCAACAUGUCACAAUUUCACCAGGUCAUAAAUACCUGGGUGAGGUGGGGCUUCCCUAUCAAACCCAUAAGCACAAAAGAAGCGUAAAUUUAGCGAGGUUGCUGAGCAAAGGGGGUGUGGGUCUGGGAAAGCAAGCAAAGAGAAAACAAAUUAAAUCUGAAUAAAAAUAUGAUUAGCGCCGGGGAUGGGUGGAUGACAAAUUAGAGCUCUAAACUUUGCAAUAUAAAGCUAUUUCCCAUGAUAAAUGUGCCCAGACAGUAAUCAAUGGCUUUAAUCCAUACGAUGGGAAAUAGCGUCCUAGAGUCUUGAUUUGGAGUUUGGAGAAGGGUGGCGGUUUUCCCAAAGACAAAUGUUUUCUCCAUUGACCAGCCCAGGCUGGAACGGGUGGCGAACAGAAUUUAAUUACCAGGUACCCUCACAGCGCGAUUCAUUCUUCCCUCGGAAUGAAACUUCAUUGGCAAGAUGGAUGGCUCCUGUUGAUGGGUGCCGAACGCAGUUCAAUCUUAGCCAGAUUUAUGGCCUGUAGAAAUUUCACUAGAUUUGUUUUGUUAAAAAAAAGAGAGAGGGGGGAGUAGGAGUGUGUGUGUGUGCGUUUGUGUGUGUUGGGGACUGUAGCAGGCACAAGAUUUCACUCUCAUAACUGAUGGAUUGCUGCCAAUCCAAAGUGUGAUAAUCUAAGGGCAGAAUUUAAGGCUCUGAACUUCCAUAAUCUGCUCUGGGAUUGAAACUGGGACUAAUGGUCAAAAACCCACCACCUAUUUUCCUUUACAUCACCAUCCAGAUGUUUUUGACUACAACUCCCAUCGGCAGAGGACAUAUUUUGCUCCGUGUGGACCACAAACAGCAUUCCGGG